rnacentral:rRNA from 1 species
GGGUCUGGCAUAAUCCCGCCGAAAGCGGGACUAAAACCAAGAUAAUGCAGCGGCUCGACAUCGAGACAGUUGUUAAACCUUCGGGGCCUGAAGAUGAGCCUGCGCCUGAUUAGGUAGUUGGCGGAGUAAAAGCCCACCAAGCCAUCGAUCAGUAGCUGGUCUGAGAGGAUGAUCAGCCACAUUGGGACUGAGACACGGCCCAG